rnacentral:rRNA from 1 species
GGGGAAUUUUCCUGCAAUGGGCGAACAGCCUGACGGAGCAAUCUCGCGUGAGGGAUGACGGCCUAUGGGUUGUAAACCUCUUUUUUCAGGGGAGGAAUCAAUGACGUGUACCUGAAGAAUAAGCAUCGGCUAACUCCGGUGCCANCAGCCGCGGUAANACGGAGGAUGCAAGUGUUAUCCGGAAUCACUGGGCGUAAAGCGUCUGUAGGUGGUAUAACAAGUCAGCUGUUAAAUCUUGAAGCUCAACUUCAAAAUCGCAGCCGAAACUAUUAAACUAUAGUAUAGUAGGGGUAAAGGGAAUUUCCAGUGGAGCGGUGAAAUGCGUANAGAUUGGAAAGAACACCGAUGGCGAAGGCACUUUACUGGGCUAUUACUGACACUCAGAGACGAAAGCUAGGGUAGCAAAUGGGAUUAGAUACCCCAGUAGUC